rnacentral:rRNA from 1 species
CAGCCGCCGCGGUAAUACGUAGGUGGCAAGCGUUAUCCGGAAUUAUUGGGCGUAAAGCGCGCGUAGGUGGUUUUUUAAGUCUGAUGUGAAAGCCCACGGCUCAACCGUGGAGGGUCAUUGGAAACUGGAAAACUUGAGUGCAGAAGAGGAAAGUGGAAUUCCAUGUGUAGCGGUGAAAUGCGCAGAGAUAUGGAGGAACACCAGUGGCGAAGGCGACUUUCUGGUCUGUAACUGACGCUGAUGUGCGAAAGCGUGGGGAUCAAACAGGAUUAGAUACCCGCGUAGUCCCUGUCUCUUAUAC